AGAGUUUGAUCCUGGCUCAGAUUGAACGCUGGCGGCAUGCCUAACACAUGCAAGUCGCGCGCGAAAGGGAGCAAUCCCAAGUAGAGCGGCGGACGGGUGCGUAAUACGUAGGAAUCUACCUCGUAGUGGGGGACAACCCGGCGAAAGCCGGGCUAAUACCGCAUACGACCUAAGGGUGAAAGCGGGGGAUCGCAAGACCUCGCGCUAUGAGAUGAGCCUGCGUCGGAUUAGCUAGUUGGUGAGGUAAAGGCUCACCAAGGCGACGAUCCGUAGCUGGUCUGAGAGGACGACCAGCCACACUGGGACUGAGACACGGCCCAGACUCCUACGGGAGGCAGCAGUGGGGAAUAUUGGACAAUGGGGGCAACCCUGAUCCAGCAACGCCGCGUGUGUGAAGAAGGCCUUCGGGUUGUAAAGCACUUUCGGUGGGGACAAACAAGGUGGCGCUAACAUCGCCGCCUCUGAUGGUACCCAAAGAAGAAGCACCGGCUAACUCUGUGCCAGCAGCCGCGGUAAUACAGAGGGUGCAAGCGUUAAUCGGAAUUACUGGGCGUAAAGCGUGCGUA
rnacentral:rRNA from 1 species